rnacentral:rRNA from 1 species
GACGAACGCUGGCGGCGUGCCUAACACAUGCAAGUCGAACGAUGAACCCGGAGCUUGCCCUGGGGGAUUAGUGGCGAACGGGUGAGUAACACGUGAGUAACCUGCCCUGGACUCUGGGAUAAGCGUUGGAAACGACGUCUAAUACCGGAUAGGACCUUGGAUCGCAUGAUCUGGGGUGGAAAGUUUUUUCGGUCUGGGAUGGACUCGCGGCCUAUCAGCUUGUUGGUGAGGUAAUGGCUCACCAAGGCGUCGACGGGUAGCCGGCCUGCGCGGGUGACCGGCCACACUGGGAAUGAGACACGGCGCAGACUCCUGCGAAUGGCAGCAGAGGGGAAUAUUGCUGACUGGGCGAAAGCCUGAUGCAGCUGCGCCGCGUGCGAGAUGACAGCCUUCGGGUUGUGAACCGCUUUUAGUGGGGGUGAAGGGCUUCGGCUUGACGGUACCUGCAGAAAAAGGACCGGCUAACUACGUG